CAUUUUCCUAGUGGAUUUGCUCAUGGAUGGAUGCCUCCCUCCAGCAGUCUGGAUGGGAUGCCAGCAGGGUCCAGCUUCACAAAGGUGGAACUACAGCGCAGCUCUGUGGUGUCAAGUUUGCCCACAGAUGAGGGCCUGCUUUCUGCAAGUGAUCUCUGCUGGUCAUUCCUAGAACUCUCCCGCGCCGUGACCUUCAGGAAGGCACACAGCACAAGCCCAACACCAUCCUCAAUGACUUCAGUCCUUCUGCAGAUGACCUGUCCUCACCUUCUCAUCUUCAGUGGCCCACUAUUUUGUUCCACUUUGGACUCUAACGCCCAUGAUGACAAGGUAAUAAUUUGGGCCUUGCUAUUACCUAUAAUUG
rnacentral:lncRNA from 1 species